AAGGUCUCCCUGGAGCCUUCUCUUCUCCAGGUGAACACUCUCAGCUCUCCCAGCCUGGCUCCAGAGCAGAGGUGGAAUUUCGCCUAAGUGAAAUCAACAUUGAAUAGACUGAUUUCUCCUAACCCUUCCUGAAAAAGAGACAGGACACUGCCAAAGCUCAUUGAAGCUCCAGGAGUGAUAACUACUUUCCAUUCAGGAGAAUGAUCACAUUCCUGGGAUGCUUAGAUUAGGUUUAAGAUUUCAAAAGUCAGCAACUGUUUAAUAAAAAGCUCAUAAGCAGAGUGGAAACAAGGACAAGAUUAAAGGAAUUUUCUUCUCCGUUCCUGCUAGAUCAGAUCCCUUAGGCUUGCCUUGUGCCAUAUGAAUCUUGUAUUUCUUGUCAGACACUAAUAGAGUUUCAAGAGGAGGAAGAAACCCAGAUAAGCAUCUGGCUGCAUGUUGGGGAAGGAGAUUGAGGUCUGGAACUACCUUCUCCUCACACAUACACAUAUUCCUCCUCACACCAGGGAGGACAAGGACAAGAGAUUAUCUACUUCCUCGUGAAAGCUCACCAAUAUACAGACAUAAAUUAAAUGGAAGAGGUCCUUAAACCACUACUCCCCAUUGAAGUGAACAAGGCAUGCCUGGGUCCAGCCAAGAGUCUGGAUCAUCAGGCAACGUCUGACAUCACGCUGAGAAGUCAGCUACAGGCAAGGCCGUUCAACUAAACCUGUGAUGAGAGAAAAUAGGAGCGAUGUUCCUCCAGAUGAGCCAGCUGGGUCAGUUCCCCACAGCUGCUGGAGUGCUGGAGCCA